CACAGAGUUAGCCGAUGCUUAUUCCUCAGAUACCGUCAUUGUUUCUUCUCCGAGAAAAGAAGUUGACGACCCGUAGGCCUUCCACCUCCACGCGGCAUUGCUCCGUCAGGCUUUCGCCCAUUGCGGAAGAUUCCCUACUGCUGCCUCCCGUAGGAGUCUGGACCGUGUCUCAGUUCCAGUGUGGCCGAUCACCCUCUCAGGUCGGCUACGUAUCGUUGCCUUGGUAAGCCAUUACCCCACCAACUAGCUAAUACGGCGCGGGUCCAUCUAUAAGUGAUAGCAAAACCAUCUUUCACUUUAGAACCAUGCGGUUCUAAAUAUUAUCCGGCAUUAGCCCCGGUUUCCGGAGUUUAUUCCAGUCUUAUAGGUAGGUUACCCAGUUGUUACUCACCCGUCCGCCGCUAACGUCAAAGGAGCAAGCUCCUUAUCUGUUCGCUCGACUUGCAUGUAUUAGGCACGCCGCAGCGUUCAUCCUGACGCAGGAUCAAACUCU
rnacentral:rRNA from 1 species